GACGAACGCUGGCGGCGUGCUUAACACAUGCAAGUCGAACGGAAAGGCCCUGCUUUUGUGGGGUGCUCGAGUGGCGAACGGGUGAGUAACACGUGAGUAACCUGCCCUUGACUUUGGGAUAACUUCAGGAAACUGGGGCUAAUACCGGAUAGGAGCUCCUGCUGCAUGGUGGGGGUUGGAAAGUUUCGGCGGUUGGGGAUGGACUCGCGGCUUAUCAGCUUGUUGGUGGGGUAGUGGCUUACCAAGGCUUUGACGGGUAGCCGGCCUGAGAGGGUGACCGGCCACAUUGGGACUGAGAUACGGCCCAGACUCCUACGGGAGGCAGCAGUGGGGAAUAUUGCACAAUGGGCGGAAGCCUGAUGCAGCAACGCCGCGUGCGGGAUGACGGCCUUCGGGUUGUAAACCGCUUUCGCCUGUGACGAAGCGUGAGUGACGGUAAUGGGUAAAGAAGCACCGGCUAACUACGUGCCAGCAGCCGCGGUGAUACGUAGGGUGCGAGCGUUGUCCGGAUUUAUUGGGCGUAAAGGGCUCGUAGGUGGUUGAUCGCGUCGGAAGUGCAAUCUUGGGGCUUAACCCUGAGCGUGCUUUCGAUACGGGUUGACUUGAGGAAGGUAGGGGAGAAUGGAAUUCCUGGUGGAGCGGUGGAAUGCGCAGAUAUCAGGAGGAACACCAGUGGCGAAGGCGGUUCUCUGGGCCUUUCCUGACGCUGAGGAGCGAAAGCGUGGGGAGCGAACAGGCUUAGAUACCCUGGUAGUCCACGCUGUAAACGGUGGGUACUAGGUGUGGGGUCCAUUCCACGGGUUCCGUGCCGUAGCUAACGCUUUAAGUACCCCGCCUGGGGAGUACGGCCGCAAGGCUAAAACUCAAAGGAAUUGACGGGGCCCCGCACAAGCGGCGGAGCAUGCGGAUUAAUUCGAUGCAACGCGUAGAACCUUACCUGGGUUUGACAUGGAUCGGGAGUGCUCAGAGAUGGGUGUGCCUCUUUUGGGGUCGGUUCACAGGUGGUGCAUGGCUGUCGUCAGCUCGUGUCGUGAGAUGUUGGGUUAAGUCCCGCAACGAGCGCAACCCUUGUUCACUGUUGCCAGCACGUUAUGGUGGGGACUCAGUGGAGACCGCCGGGGUCAACUCGGAGGAAGGUGGGGAUGACGUCAAGUCGUCAUGCCCCUUAUGUCCAGGGCUUCACGCAUGCUACAAUGGCUGGUACAGAGAGUGGCGAGCCUGUGAGGGUGAGCGAAUCUCGGAAAGCCGGUCUCAGUUCGGAUUGGGGUCUGCAACUCGACCUCAUGAAGUCGGAGUCGCUAGUAAUCGCAGAUCAGCAACGCUGCGGUGAAUACGUUCCCGGG
rnacentral:rRNA from 1 species